rnacentral:lncRNA from 1 species
UCAUUAAAAAGGCAUUUCCUUCAGAGAAGCUGAUUAGAUAGCUGUUUCUUCUCCUAGAUGCUGAAGAUCUGGAGAACACCUCAGUGAGGCAAAAAAGGGCAGGAAAUUAAGGCACAUUACUUUAACAAGAGGUGCUGGUUCACCCUGGAAUCUCCCACUAUUAAAACAGUUAACAGAGGAGAUUUGUAAAUGAGAAUUGGAUGGCUUGUCUGCAAUCUACAUUGCAUAAACCUGGCUCCUAACCUCUAAUUAUGGUUUUCCUAAAGAAAUGAGACUCAGCUCUGAAGGGAGCUGAGCAAUCUCUAAUGCCAUUGACUCCAUGAGACCCGAGGGCAUGCAGCUCUUUUACAGGGAAGCUGAGCACCCUGAGAUCGUGGUCUAAAUGGGAAUCAGAAUGCCUUUUGGAUUAAAGCAAUGUGAUUUAGCAAACACACUAUAAUUGUGGAGUACUUGCAAAUAUUGACAUCAGUCUGAUGCUGAAAAUUAAUUUGCAGAAUCAGAAACUGAAAAGCAAACUGGACAAUAGACUGCCACUUUGGUAACUGUUAAUGAGCAUCUCUCAAUGAAGCGAUUGUCCAAACUAGAAGGUGUCAUUUAAUAAAAGAAACUGUCCAAUGUCUUUUUUGUAAGGGUGAGAUUUUGAAGCUCUAAGUCCGGAAGAUUUUUCUAUUUAGUCAAUUAACUAUAAUUUAAAAAUAAAGGAGUUCACAGCUACCAAUGAUACAUGGCACUUCUGCUCAGCUCUGAGCAUCAGUCUUAGAGUGUCAGCCCAAAGUUCAUCCUCAGCAUUUCAUUCUGGCUGCUUAUUUUUCUUUCUGUGUUUGUUUGCUUUGUUAACAGGGCACAAUGUGGCUCUUUCCCCGUGCUGGAUGUUGUCAAACAGAACCACUUUCCACCUCUGAGCUGGAGUACCAGAGUCUGUAACACACAUUGAAGUCACAGAUGUAAGGCCUGCUGUACACCACUGUGCAGGACGUUCUGUCAAGCUCAGCUCGCACAGACCAACCUUUGCAUUGCGUCCUUUUUUGGCCAGAACUGAGUUCUCUCACCCCACCAACUUCUCUGUGAUGCCAGGUCAGUUCAACAGCAGCAGCCAGCAGUCUUCCUGGGUGUUACCUUAUAUACGUACGUAAUUUCAGUUGAGCUCCCUUGAUGUAAAAGAACACCCUUUUGUCACCUUAGCUAUGCCCAUGCGUUCAGGUACCAUAAGGUCAGUCACC